rfam:Ixodes scapularis strain Wikel colony gcontig_1108378720086, whole genome shotgun sequence.
CCCUGGUUAGCUCAGUUGGUGGAGGGCUCCACUGGAAAUGGAGAGGUCCCAGGUUCCAUACCCGUACCAGGCG